UUGGAAUUCACCAUGUAGAUCAGGUCCUAUGAUUGGUGGAUCCGCCCAUGAGCUGUCACUGAGGUGCAAGCAAUCCUCCCUCUGCAUUUUGUACCCAGGGGCUACCAACCUCUUCUCCAGUUAUAUUAUCGAGCUAUUCAGUUCAUUUUAAAGCCAGCUGAAAGACAAAUCUCAUGUGGCACCCUGCAGAGGGGCAACAUUAAGCCUGGUAAAAGGUUUCUCUGGAAUGGUCUUCCCUUGCUCACUUGAGACUUGUAUUAGGGGCAGAGCCGCCUGUGAUAGCGCAAAGAUGGUGUCAGCAGAGGAAGCAGCGGCUGCCGCCGCCUGGAUGAUGCAGCAGCACUGGUAGCAGUGAGAAGGCAGUGGAAGAGCAGAGAUCCAACAGAGAGCAGAAGGAACUGAGGUGAUGAAAGAAGCUGGGAAGAAGUGGGAAGCCAAUGUCGUAGAAGGCUCGGAAGACAAGAAACUGCAUGUUCAAAGCCAUCAAAUGGUUCCGGGGAGCUGCUGAGACCCAAGAGCCAAUGAUCAAGAUCUCCCAGAUGCAGGGGUUGUAAUGCCUUCACUUUUAGGAGCUAAGUGUCUACACACAAGACGCCUUCGGAUGCUACAGAGAUAGGGUUGAUAGUUACUGAGUACAGGGCCACUGAGAGUCAAGGUCCAGAAUAGAACCAUCAGCACUGGACAGAGCACCCGGAACAGCAAAUCUCUCUGCAUCAUAGUGUCCAGUUCAAGGACCCAGAGCCACGAGCGUCUUCGGAUCCAUUACUCCAGCCCAUGUAUGGAACCUUAGCACUCAAGAGCCCAGAGCCUCAGACGAUGACUCAGCCAACCUUUGCCUCUUUGCAGUUCUCAUCAUGGUAGUGCAAACGAUUCCCCAGCCAGAUGAUUGAUGGGUCAAACUGGAAUCCUGGGAUGGAGGCGUGGCUCAGCAGGUAGCGUGAUUGCUUAACAUGCACAAAACCCUGGGUUUGAUCCCUGGCAUGGAGCAACUAGAGAGUAAUGGUGCCUAUGAGCCCAGCACCUUGGAAGAACGGAAAG
rnacentral:lncRNA from 1 species